GAUGAACGCUGGCGGCGUGCCUAAUACAUGCAAGUCGAGCGAACAGACGAGGAGCUUGCUCCUCUGACGUUAGCGGCGGACGGGUGAGUAACACGUGGAUAACCUACCUAUAAGACUGGGAUAACUUCGGGAAACCGGAGCUAAUACCGGAUCAUAUAUUGAACCGCAUGGUUCAAUAGUGAAAGACGGUUUUGCUGUCACUUAUAGAUGGAUCCGCGCCGCAUUAGCUAGUUGGUAAGGUAACGGCUUACCAAGGCAACGAUGCGUAGCCGACCUGAGAGGGUAAUCGGCCACACGGGAACUGAGACACGUUCCAAACUCCUACGGGAGGCAGAAGGAGGGAAUCUUCCGCAAUGGGCGAAAGCCUGACGGAGCAACGCCGCGGGAGUGAUGAAGGUCUUCGGAUCGUAAAACUCUGUUAUUAGGGAAGAACAAAGGUGUAAGUAACUAUGCACGUCUUGACGGUACCUAAGCAGAAAGCCACGGCUAACUACGU
rnacentral:rRNA from 1 species